rnacentral:rRNA from 1 species
CCGGCGCACGGGUGAGUAACGCGAAUCCAACCCUCCGUACACUCAGGGAUAGCCUUUCGAAAGAAAGAUUAAUACCUGAUGGUAUGAUGAGAUUGCAUGAUAGCAUCAUUAAAGAUUUAUCGGUGUACGAUGGGGAUGCGUUCCAUUAGGUAGUAGGCGGGGUAACGGCCCACCUAGCCAACGAUGGAUAGGGGUUCUGAGAGGAAGGUCCCCCACAUUGGAACUGAGACACGGUCCAAACUCCUACGGGAGGCAGCAGUGAGGAAUAUUGGUCAAUGGACAAGAGUCUGAACCAGCCAAGUAGCGUGAAGGAUGAAGGUCCUACGGAUUGUAAACUUCUUUUAUAAGGGAAUAAACCCUCCCACGUGUGGGAGCUUGUAUGUACCUUAUGAAUAAGCAUCGGCUAACUCCGUGCCAGCAGCCGCGGUAAUACGGAGGAUGCGAGCGUUAUCCGGAUUUAUUGGGUUUAAAGGGAGCGCAGACGGGUCGUUAAGUCAGCUGUGAAAGUUUGGGGCUCAACCUUAAAAUUGCAGUUGAUACUGUCAGUCUUGAGUACAGUAGAGGUGGGCGGAAUUCGUGGUGUAGCGGUGAAAUGCUUAGAUAUCACGAAGAACUCCGAUUGCGAAGGCAGCUCACUG